rnacentral:rRNA from 1 species
UUGAUCAUGGCUCAGGACGAGCGCUAGCGGCGUGCGUAGAGCAUGCAAGUCGAGCGGAGUACUGUCUUCUGAUGGUAAUUAGCGGCGAACGGAUGAGUGACACGUGCGUAAUCUACCUAUCUGUGGGGGACAACCACCAGAUAGAGAGGCUAAACCAUCCUACAUUCAGUGGUAAUGAUACUUGUCAAGACAGAGUAACCGUUGAGGUGGGCGCUGAGAGAUGAGCGUGUGGCACAUCAUGUAGUUUGUGAUGUAACGGCUCCACAAGCCGAAGACGUGUAACCCGUGUGAGAGGAUCUCCGGUCACAGGAGGAGUGAGACACUGCCCAGUCUCAUACGGGAGGCCGCAGCAGGGAAUUUUGCACAAUGGGAGAAAGCGUGACCCAGAGACGCCGCGAGGAAGAAGAACUCUUUCGGGGUGUAAAUUCCUGGAGUGGGGGGAGAGGAAGGACGGUACCCCAGUAGAAAGGGCCGGCCAACUACGUGCCAGCAGCCGCGGUAAAACGUAGGUGCCGAGCGUUGUUCGGAUUCACUGGGUGUAAAGGGCGCGUAGGUGGCCGUUUAAGUUUCAUGUGAAAUCUCAGGGCUCAACUGUGAGAUUGCGUGGGAAACUAGCCAGCUAGAGGGCGGUAGAGGGAAGUGGAAUUCCCGGUGUAGCGGUAAAAUGCGUAGAUAUCGGGAGGAACACCGGUGGCGAAGGCGGCUUUCUGGGCCUCUCCUGACGCUGAGGCGCGAAAGCUAGGGGAGCGAACCGGAUUAGAUACCCGGGUAGUCCCAGCCGUAAACGAUGGGUGCUAGGUGUGGGGGGGUAAGGACCCUUCCGUGCCGGAGCAAACGCAAUAAGCAUCCCACCUGGGGAGUACGGCCGCAAGGUUGAAACUCAAAUGAAUUGACGG